UUGAUUACCAUUUAGAAGCAGUGACUAUCAUUUCACAGAAUGAUGAUUCAAAGAUUGAAACGCGAAGGGGAAUGGCUCACCUUAACUGGACUGCUGAUUUAGGAUUCAAAAAAGCACUCGCUUUAGCUAUUUAACCUACCAAGAAUAAAAAAAAUAAAAUGAAACAACAUUAAAAAUAUGAACUAUGCUUAUAAAGGGGGAGAAAAUAACCAAGAAGGUAGAACGAAAGAUCAAAGUAGAGUAAACAUGCAUUUGUUAGAAAAGUAUCCAACCCAACCAACAAAAACAAGUGAUGAAAAUAACAGACUUACCUCCCAGUGAAAAGGAUGGCUUCAACAGCACGAAUUUUUGCCUGGAUCAGAAUUUACAAAUGUUCUAACUGCAAUACAACUUUGCCAAGCAAUGUUCCUACACUCUUUACAGUGGAACAGCAGAAGUUAAGAGGGUAUAUUUGGAGUCAAGCUGUCUGGAUUUGAAUUCUGACUAUGCCACUUAUCUGCUGUGAGACCUUGGGCAAGUCUUGUUUUUUCUGGGACAGUGUCCAGCCUCACGGAUCUGAGUCUCUUCCAGCUCCUAAGCAGUUCUUUCCAUUCGGCCCCUUGGAGCUCUCACAGAAACUAACAAUCACAAUUCCAUAUGAGGUGAUUCUGAGCUUCACCAGUGUGGCUGGCCAGCAUUCUAAGAAAGCAUUAAAGACGAUGCGAAGGAUGGAAGCUGGAUACUAGAGAAUAAAUGUAAAUUAUGAAAGUACUCUCAUAGAUGAGAUACAGAAUCUCAGGGAUUAAAUGAAUUUUGAAGAAAGAAACAAAGAAAAAAAUCAGGCACUGAUGAAAGAUGAGCUGGAGAUAAAGAGAUGCCUCAGGAAGGAAUGAAGCCAGAAGUUCACACCCAGGGGAGGGGCGCGGUGCACCUGAAGACUGUCCAGGUGCCACAGGGCUUGGUGAUCAGAGUGCUUUUGUUUUGUUUUUAAAGAAUACCUCAACUAUAAGGCAUAUCUGUGGCUUCAUGACUGUGCUCACUGCAGGCAUUUGACUUCACUAAAAGAGACCUUAAGCCUGGGACCAACAUCUCACAGCCAAUUUUGCAAUCCCGCCUUUACAUCACCAGUGAAGAGCUGUUUUCUGCAAACAUGCAGUGAGUCAAGUAGUGUUCUUUCACAGCAUAAAUAGUUGGCCUGAACAUUCUUUAUGGCAUCUCUUUCUAUGGUACUUUCCAUUACAGAUGGAAUGCAAAUAGUACUUUCUGGAAAAGAUAUUGUCAUCAAGACAUUUCUCUCAAAGUUCUAGAAUUUAGCAGGUUAAAAAAUAUAUAAAUGGUUUCAUAUCUUUAAAUAUAUAUAUAUGGCUAAAUGUCUUUGGUAAGAGAUAAAGAGAUUUAUUCAGAGAACCGAGGCAGCUUAGAUUCUAGAGGGUAGA